rnacentral:rRNA from 1 species
AGAACGAACGCUGGCGGCAUGCCUAAUACAUGCAAGUCGAACGAAGGCUUCGGCCUUAGUGGCGCACGGGUGCGUAACGCGUGGGAAUCUGCCCCUUGGUUCGGAAUAACAGUUGGAAACGACUGCUAAUACCGGAUGAUGACGAAAGUCCAAAGAUUUAUCGCCAAGGGAUGAGCCCGCGUAGGAUUAGCUAGUUGGUGAGGUAAAGGCUCACCAAGGCGACGAUCCUUAGCUGGUCUGAGAGGAUGAUCAGCCACACUGGGGACUGAGACACGGCCCAGACUCCUACGGGAGCAGCAGUAGGGAAUAUUGGACAAUGGGCGAAAGCCUGAUCCAGCAAUGCCGCGCGAGUGAUGG